rnacentral:rRNA from 1 species
GAUGAACGCUGGCGGCGUACCUAACGCAUGCAAGUCGAACGGUGGUGAAGGAGCAAUCUGACACCAUAGUGGCAGACGGGUGAGUAACACGUGGGUAAUCUACCCCGGAGUGUGGAAUAACGGCUCGAAAGGGUCGCUAAUACCGCAUGGAGUCGUGCUGACGCGAGUUAGUGCGAGGAAAGCCUUCGGGCGCUCUGGGAGGAGCCUGCGGCCGAUCAGGUAGUUGGUGAGGUAACGGCUCACCAAGCCGACGACCGGUAGCUGAUCUGAGAGGAUGACCAGCCACACUGGCACUGAGACACGGGCCAGACUCCUACGGGAGGCAGCAGCGAGGAAUAUUGCACAAUGGAGGCAACUCUGAUGCAGUAACGCCGCGUGAGGGAAGAAGAUUUUCGGAUUGUAAACCUCUUUUUGUAGAGACGAGCAAGGACGGUAUCUAUAGAAUAAGUCUCGGCUAACUACGUGCCAGCAGCCGCGGUAAGACGUAGGAGGCGAGCGUUAUCCGGAAUCACUGGGCGUAAAGCGCAUGUAGGCGGCUGUACAAGUCGUGUGUUAAAGCCCCUGGCUCAACUGGGGGAGGUCAUGCGAGACUGUGCGGCUGGAGGGCAGGAGAGGCACGUGGAACUCCCGGUGUAGCGGUGGAAUGCGUAGAGAUCGGGAAGAACAUCAGUGGCGAAGGCGACGUGCUGGGCUGCACCUGACGCUGAGAUGCGAAAGUGUGGGGAGCAAACGGGAUUAGAUACCCCGGUAGUCCACACCCUAAACGAUGAACACUAGGUGUGGGUGGGAAAACCAUCCGUGCCGAAGCCAACGCGUUAAGUGUUCCGCCUGGGGACUAUGAGCGCAAGCUUAAAACUCAAAGGAAUUGACGGGGGCCCGCACAAGCAGCGGAGCGUGCGGUUCAAUUCGAUGCGACACGAAGAACCUUACCAGGGUUUGACAUGGAUGUGGUAGGGAAGGGAAACCGGACCGACUCGCAAGAGAGCAUACACAGGUGAUGCAUGGCUGUCGUCAGCUCGUGCCGUGAGGUGUUGGGUUAAGUCCCGCAACGAGCGCAACCCCUGUUGCCAGUUACAAGUGUCUGGCGAGACUGCCGGCGAUUCGUCGGAGGAAGGCGGGGAUGACGUCAAGUCAGCAUGUCCUUUAUAUCCUGGGCGACACGCACGCUACAAUGGGUGAGAAUAGAGCGUAGCCAAACCGAGAGGUGGAGCAAAUCGCGGAAAAGCACCCACAGUUCAGAUUGCAGGCUGCAACCCGCCUGCAUGAAGUCGGAGUUGCUAGUAAACGCGCGUCAGCCAUAGUGCGUUGAAUACGUUCCCGGGCCUUGUACACACCGCCCGUCACGUCAUGGAAGUCGGCAACACCUGAAGUCGGUGACCUAACCGCAAGGAAGGAACUGCCGAAGGUGGGGCUGGUAACUGGGACGAAGUCGUAACAAGGUAGCUGUACCGGAAGGUGCGGCCGCUCAAC